rnacentral:scRNA from 1 species
GUUUGUUGGAAGGUAGUGAGUUAUCUCAACUGAUGGUUCACAGUCAGUUGCAG